CGGGGAUGGAAAAGUGGAAGGGGUGUGCCCAGACUUUUAACAACAGAGGAGUACAAGCAAGCCAUGAUUUAUGUGUUAACAAACCUACCAGAAAUGGAUGAAUAUGUACAGAAGUUUGAAGAUGAGCAGUGGAGGCGUCCUCAACCACCUACUCCAAAGCAAUUGGAAAACUUGAGGCUUAAUGGAGCCGGUCAUGGAAAGCCAAACUUGCUGGAUUGGUUCAAAGAUUAUUGCAUCAAACAUACUAGCGUACCUGAUGAGUUGCGGAGAUUAUCAAGAGGAUGCCGCUUUAAAGUGAAGUCCUAUGAUAUUUAUGAAGUAAAUGGGUACAGGUUUCGC